UCUUUAUCCAGAGUGGUGGAGGGAAACGGCCCUGCGAAACCACGGCAACCGGUCGGUUGAAAAAUCGGCGCCUGGUGCCAAUUCCUGCCCAGUGGAAAUUUUCCAGGGGACAGAUGAGGA
rnacentral:ncRNA from 2 species